rnacentral:rRNA from 1 species
UACGUAGGGGGCUAGCGUUGUCCGGAAUCAUUGGGCGUAAAGCGCGUGUAGGCGGUCCGGUAAGUCCGCUGUGAAAGUCGAGGGCUCAACCCUCGAAUGCCGGUGGAUACUGUCGGGCUAGAGUGCGGAAGAGGCGAGUGGAAUUCCUGGUGUAGCGGUGAAAUGCGCAGAUAUCAGGAAGAACACCGGUGGCGAAGGCGGCUAUCUGGCCCGUAAUUGACGCUGAGGCGCGAAAGCGUGGGGAGCAAACAGG